AGGCCGUGUGCACAACUGCAAGGAACAUUCAGCGGACACGUUGUCCAAAGGAACAAUUCGUGGCUAACCACAGCUUUUUCACCAUUUGGAUUGGUAGUGAAAUAAAAGUCAGCUCCUGAU